AUACAUUUGUUGGAUAUUUUAUAAACUAGAUCAUUCAAAAACAUUGAACUGUGAUUAUCCAAUUGUAUAUAAACACUUCUAAAUCAUCAGUCACAGUAGCGGAGCCAUGAAUUUCACAAAAGGUGUCCAGAAAUAGAAAGUGGAAAAAAGAUUUGCGAGCAUUGCCUCAUUCCAAGCGUCCGAAACCACUAGGCUAUAACAACUUGUUC
rnacentral:lncRNA from 1 species